UCUACUAAAGGAAAAUAGCCC
rnacentral:tRNA from 1 species